rnacentral:lncRNA from 1 species
GCAGUGAUAGAGACCUUUCAUGGCUGUGUGUUUUCUCAGCUGAAUCAGGCCUUGCAGCGUAACAUCAAGGAAGAUGAGAUACUGAAGCUACUGCAAAAAGUGUCAGAGGUUUACUUAAGCAACCCUGUGGGGUGUCCUAACGCUCAACAUCAGACCUCCAAAGCAGUUGACCUGCUCCUCCUGUCAGACUGGGUGCAGAGUGCACAAAAGAAAUAUUUGGACACCGCUCAGAAUGUACUCUCAGAGAGGUUGGAGAGGAUCCUUGUUUGUGAGGAGAAAUACCGGCGCUCGCACACUCCGAAGGAAGAGGAGGACUUCUUAAGACUGCAGCUGGAUGUUGAGCAGGUGCCCCCAGCAACCUGAGAAGAUAAACUCUUCU